rnacentral:lncRNA from 1 species
UGAGAGUGAUUCUCAAACCUGUUUUCGAUCAUGGUGUGUCAUAUCCAUUGGUCAAAACUUUUAUGAUUGUUGGUGUGUAAUAUCUUUCAGUCUAACUUGGUCUAAUCUAGUGUGUCAUAUCUAGAGGCGGCCAUUAUAGGGUAGUAUCAAGAGACUUUCCGCCCCUCUUGUGUCACCUUUUGAUCCACAUCCCUUGAUCGUUUGUUGCUUUCUAGCUCAUUCGGUGCAAGGCUUAUCCCUUACCAAUUUCAGAGUGUAUUCCUUGGGAGGUUUUUUUAUCAACAAAU